UGGCGGUAGGCUUAACACAUGCAAGUCGUGCGAGAAAGUAUCUUCGGAUAUGAGUAGAGCGGCGGACGGGUGAGUAACGCGUAGGAAUCUACCUAGUAGAAGGGGAUAGCCCGGGGAAACCCGGAUUAAUACCGUAUACCUCCUUCGGGAGAAAGAAGGCCUCUCUUUGAAGCUUUCGCUACUAGAUGAGCCUGCGUAAGAUUAGCUUGUUGGUGAGGUAAAGGCUCACCAAGGCGACGAUCUUUAGCUGGUCUGAGAGGACGAUCAGCCACAUUGGGACUGAGACACGGCCCAGACUCCUACGGGAGGCAGCAGUGGGGAAUAUUGGACAAUGGGCGCAAGCCUGAUCCAGCCAUACCGCGUGUGUGAAGAAGGCCUUCGGGUUGUAAAGCACUUUAAGCAGGGAGAAAAAGUUAUAAGUUAAUACCUUAUAACCCUGAUGUUACCUGCAGAAUAAGCACCGGCUAAUUCCGUGCCAGCAGCCGCGGUAAUACGGAAGGUGCAAGCGUUAAUCGGAAUUACUGGGCGUAAAGCGCGCGUAGGUGGUUUGUUAAGUUGGAUGUGAAAGCCCUGGGCUCAACCUAGGAACUGCAUCCAAAACUAACUCACUAGAGUACGAUAGAGGGAGGUAGAAUUCAUAGUGUAGCGGUGGAAUGCGCAGAUA
rnacentral:rRNA from 1 species